GAUGAACGCUGGCGGCGUGCCUAAUACAUGCAAGUAGAACGCUGAAGGAAGGAGCUUGCUCUUUCCGGAUGAGUUGCGAACGGGUGAGUAACGCGUAGGUAACCUGCCUGGUAGCGGGGGAUAACUAUUGGAAACGAUAGCUAAUACCGCAUAACAGUAGAUGUUGCAUGACAACUAUUUGAAAGGGGCAAUUGCUCCACUACCAGAUGGACCUGCGUUGUAUUAGCUAGUUGGUGAGGUAACGGCUCACCAAGGCGAUGAUACAUAGCCGACCUGAGAGGGUGAUCGGCCACACUGGGACUGAGACACGGCCCAGACUCCUACGGGAGGCAGCAGUAGGGAAUCUUCGGCAAUGGACGGAAGUCUGACCGAGCAACGCCGCGUGAGUGAAGAAGGUUUUCGGAUCGUAAAGCUCUGUUGUAAGAGAAGAACGAGUGUGAGAGUGGAAAGUUCACACUGUGACGGUAUCUUACCAGAAAGGGACGGCUAACUACGUG
rnacentral:rRNA from 1 species